GGAAUUCGGGCCACGCACUCCUCCUCCCAGCGUAAGCCCGAUGGGACUGGCGAUCCUCCUCCUCCCAAAUCGCCGGUCAUUACAAAUGACGCCCACCGGACCUCCUCCCCCGGUGGGCGUUAUUU
rnacentral:sRNA from 1 species